GGUCUUACAAACUACUGGUCUAUUUAGUAUAUGAAAAAAAAGAGUAAUGCAUCACUAGUAGAAUGUUGACCAAAGGUUGUUGUUUAAACAUAUUUUACUGAAUGGAAAUAAAUACCAAUCUGUAAUAAGAAGUACAGAGAAAAUAAUGCAUUGGAAAAACUAAAACCACAACUAUGCCAAGCAUUACCUGGGAAAAUGGAAAUUUCAGAUGUUGGGCAAAUAAAAUAUCUUGAAACCAUACUGGAGUCUUUAUUAUUUUAUUUUAUUUUAUUUUUUGAGAUGGAGUCUCGCUCUGUUGCCCAGGCUGGAGUGCAGUGGCGCAAUCUCGGCUCACUGCAAGCUCCGCCUCCCGGCUUCAUGCCAUUCUCCUGCCUCAGCCUCCCGAGUAGCUGGGACUACAGG
rnacentral:lncRNA from 10 species